rnacentral:rRNA from 1 species
AUUGAACGCUGGCGGCAGGCCUAACACAUGCAAGUCGAGCGGAUGAAGGGAGCUUGCUCCUGGAUUCAGCGGCGGACGGGUGAGUAAUGCCUAGGAAUCUGCCUGGUAGUGGGGGAUAACGUCCGGAAACGGGCGCUAAUACCGCAUACGUCCUGAGGGAGAAAGUGGGGGAUCUUCGGACCUCACGCUAUCAGAUGAGCCUAGGUCGGAUUAGCUAGUUGGUGGGGUAAAGGCCUACCAAGGCGACGAUCCGUAACUGGUCUGAGAGGAUGAUCAGUCACACUGGAACUGAGACACGGUCCAGACUCCUACGGGAGGCAGCAGUGGGGAAUAUUGGACAAUGGGCGAAACCCUGAUCCAGCCAUGCCGCGUGUGUGAAGAAGGUCUUCGGAUUGUAAAGCACUUUAAGUUGGGAGGAAGGGCAGUAAGUUAAUACCUUGCUGUUUUGACGUUACCAACAGAAUAAGCACCGGCUAACUUCGUG